rnacentral:misc_RNA from 1 species
UAAUCCCUCUGGGUAGUGGUUUUACCUGGGCCUUUGGCGCGGGGAAGUGUCCGCGGUGCUACGGCACCAGGAGUUUCCCCCGCUUAAACGCGGAGAAAGCUAGCCGGCGAUGCCCCAAUGCAACGACUUGUAGAAUGUCUAGCGUCGUGAUGCUUCUGGAGCUCCCGGCCUCUGAACAAUAGGGACCUCUCAGGUCUCAGAU